UCAGACGAUGCGUCAUGCAUAUCAAUAAGCGGAGGAAAAGAAACUAACAAGGAUUCCCUCAGUAACGGCGAGUGAAGCGGGAAGAGCUCAAAUUUGAAAUCUUGAAAGGUCACCUUUCACGAAUUGUAGUUUAAAGAAGUGUUUUCUGUUACGAUCGUAAUAUAAGUUCUUUGGAAUAGGACAUCACAGAGGGUGAGAAUCCCGUCUAUGAUUGCGAUUUGUAGCUUUGUGAUACACUUUCAAAGAGUCGGGUUGUUUGGGAAUGCAGCCCAAAACGGGAGGUAAAUUUCUUCUAAGGCUAAAUAUUGGCGAGAGACCGAUAGCGAACAAGUACCGUGAGGGAAAGAUGAAAAGAACUUUGAAAAGAGAGUUAAAUAGUACGUGAAAUUGUCAAAAGGGAAGCGUUUAACACCAGUGUUGUUUUCUGAAAAUCAACCUCUGUUAGCUUUAUGCAUGUUUGUUUAGACCUAAUCAGCUAUCUUGCAUGUUCUAUUGUUUGCAGUGGUGCACUUUUCAGUUUACAGGUCAACAUCAGUUUUUUUUACCGUAAAAAAGUUAAAGAGAGGUAGCUCAUGGCUCCGGUCGUGAGUGUUAUAGUCUUUUUCCUAUGCGGUAGGAGAGACUGAGGUCUGCAGUGUAGGCUAUUUGGCUAGAUACUCAGGUGCUAUGUGAUACCAUUUCAUAAACAACUUGUUGAUUAUGUUUUGUCUAUUGCAUACUCGCUUGUACUAUCAUACCUACGCUUAGGAUGUUGAAGACUCUACAGAGAUA
rnacentral:rRNA from 1 species